CCUCAUACAGUUGUUCUGAACACCAGUGAAAUGGAACAUAUGUAUCCAGGGAAGAGAAGUCCACCUCAGACAGAGUUUUUAAAGUAACCUUCUCUGAGCAAAGACAGUACGCCAAGAGUUGUACACAGAGGGAAGCUUGCCAGCAGAGGAUACAGAGAAACAGCAGAGUCCAAAGGGAUGGACAAGAAAAUCCCUUCUGAAGGGCAAGGCAUCAGCAGAUCAGCCAAGUCCCAAUAGCAGGAACUUGACUUCCUGAGGAAGUUCAAAGGAAACCUGUCUAACACUUUCUGGAUCUCAAUUUAAUUUGGCAAGCAUUUAUUAAGCACCUCCUACCUGCCAGGCAUUGCUCUGGAUACUGGGGAUACAGUGAUGGAUAAAUCACAGCCUCUGCUGAAGGAACUGACAAAAUGGGACAACUCUAGUGCCUCCCUGAUGGUCUGUGUUGUUGACAUCCUGCUUGAGGGCUUCAUUGUUGUACUACCAUUAAUGUUUAAGGGGGUGCCUUGUUCUUCCUUGAAUGAGAUUUGAGAGCUGCUAAUGUUCUGCUAAACACACUAAUUAUUCAUCACCCAGAACAACUUCCUGAAGAGGAAAAAAAAAUCUAGUCUGAGACAGGAAUUGCUAAUGCUGAAAAAAGAAAGCAGGAUGUAUGCUCAACGUCCAAGCUAUUGAUUUGGGCCUGAAAAUUCUGAAUGCAAACUAAUGAACUAAAGGGUGAAAUAAAAGGAGAUGCAAAAUAAAAUAUAUACUUAA